UACGUAGGGGGGCUAGCGUUGUCCGGAUUUAUUGGGCGUAAAGAGCGUGUAGGCGGCCAGGUAGGUCUGCUGUGAAAACUCGAGGCUCAACCUCGAGACGUCGGCGGAAACCAUCUGGCUAGAGUCCGGAAGAGGAGAGUGGAAUUCCAGGUGUAGCGGUGAAAUGCGUAGAUAUCUGGAGGAACACCGGUGGCGAAGGCGGCAUCCUGGACCGAUAUUGACGCUGAUGCGCGAAAGCCAGGGGAGCAAACGGG
rnacentral:rRNA from 1 species